UGCCAGCCGCCGCGGUAAUACGGAGGGAGCUAGCGUUGUUCGGAAUUACUGGGCGUAAAGCGCGUGUAGGCGGUUCGUUAAGUCUGAUGUGAAAGCCCGGGGCUCAACCCCGGAAGUGCAUUGGAAACUGGCGAACUUGAGUACGGGAGAGGAAAGUGGAAUUCCGAGUGUAGGGGUGAAAUCCGUAGAUAUCGGGAGGAACACCAGUGGCGAAGGCGGCUUCCUGGCCCAAUACUGACACUCAUGUGCGAAAGCGUGGGGAGCAAACAGGAUUAGAUA
rnacentral:rRNA from 1 species